rnacentral:miRNA from 1 species
CUGUCGGAUUGGACAGCCUGUCCGAUCGGCUGGCCCGUCCGAUCGGUUGACCCAGCCGUUCGGCUGGCCUGUCCGAUCGGUUGA